GAUGAACGCUGGCGGCGUGCCUAAUACAUGCAAGUCGAGCGAACGGACGAGAAGCUUGCUUCUCUGAUGUUAGCGGCGGACGGGUGAGUAACACGUGGAUAACCUACCUAUAAGACUGGGAUAACUUCGGGAAACCGGAGCUAAUACCGGAUAAUAUUUUGAACCGCAUGGUUCAAAAGUGAAAGACGGUCUUGCUGUCACUUAUAGAUGGAUCCGCGCUGCAUUAGCUAGUUGGUAAGGUAACGGCUUACCAAGGCAACGAUGCAUAGCCGACCUGAGAGGGUGAUCGGCCACACGGGAGCGGGGACAGCGACCAGGCUCCUACGGGAGGCAGCAGUCGGGAAUCUGCCGCAGUGGGCGGAAGCCUGACGGAGCAACGGCACGUGAGUGAUGACGGUCUUCGGAGCGUAAAGCUCUGUUACUAGGGGAGAACAUAUGUGUAAGUAACUGUACACAUCUUGACGGUACCUAAUCAGAAAGCCACGGCUAACUACGUG
rnacentral:rRNA from 1 species